AAACUUUACAAUGCAGGCAACUGCGAUAAGGGAACAUCGAGUGAUACUCAUAAUGGGUGUCUGUCCAGCUGUCUAAAAAACAGCUGUUAGCAAGGGCCGGGCAAGACCGGUGCCAGCCGCCGCGGUAAUACCGGCGGCUCGAGUGGUGGCCGAUAUUAUUGAGUCUAAAGGGUCCGUAGCCGGCUUUGCAAGUCUUGUGGGAAAUCCAGCGGCUUAACCGUUGGGCGUCCGCGAGAUACUACAUUGCUUGGGACUGGGAGAGGUAAGAGGUACUCAGGGGGUAGGAGUGAAAUCCUGUAAUCCUUUGGGGACCACCGGUGGCGAAGGCGUCUUACCAGAACAGGUCCGACGGUGAGGGACGAAAGCUAGGGGCACGAACCGG
rnacentral:rRNA from 1 species